UGGGGGAUCGUCUAAUCGGCAGGACAGCGGGCUCUGGACCCGCCAGUCCAGGUUCGAAUCCUGGUCCCCCAGCCA
rnacentral:tRNA from 1 species